UCUUCGGAGAGUUUGAUCCUGGCUCAGGAUGAACGCUGGCGGCGUGCCUAAUACAUGCAAGUCGAGCGAACUGAUUAGAAGCUUGCUUCUAUGACGUUAGCGGCGGACGGGUGAGUAA
rnacentral:rRNA from 1 species